GGGGAGUCUGAAGAUGUGACUCAAUUCCUGCAAUCUCAUAAGAAAACUUUAACUAAUGAGAAGUUGUUUCUUAUGGACGGGAAAAGAACGUGGUUUCUUGAGAUGGAAUCUACUCCUGGUGAAGAUGCUAUGAACACUGUCAAAAUGACAACAAAGGAUUUAAAAUAUGACAGAAGCUUAAUUGAUAAAGCAGGGUUUGAGAGGACUGACUCCAAUUUUGAAAGAAGUCAUACUGUGGGUAAAAUGCUAUCAAAUAGCAUCAUGUGCUAUAGAGACAUCUUUUAUGAAAGGGAGAGUCAACUAAUGCAGCAAACUUCAUUAUUAUCUUAUGAAAUUGCGAUAGCCACCCCAACCUUCAGUAACUACUACCCUGAUUGGUCAGCACCCAUCAACAUUGUGGCAAGACCCUCUACCAGCAAAAAGAUUAUGACUUGCUGAAAGCUGAGAUGAUCGUUAGCAUUUUUUAGCAAUAAAUAUUUUUAAUUAAGGUAUGUAUGUUUUUUAGACAAUUCUAUUACACAUUUUAUAGACUACAGUAUAGUAUAAACACAGCUUUUUUUUUUUUUUUUUUUUUUUAAGAAAUGGGGUCUCAUGCUGUCAUCCAGGCUGGAGUGCGGUGGUGCAAUCAUGACUCACUGCAGCCUCAAACUCCUGAGCUCAAGUGAUCCAAGUAGCUGGGACUACAGGCCUGUCACAUCACACCCGGCCAAAACGCAUAACUUUUAUAUGCAAUGGGAAACAAAAAAAUGUGUGUGACUCACUCUAUUGUGAUAUUCAGUUUACUGCAGUGAUAUGGAACUAAGCCCACAAUAUCCCUGCGGUAUGGCUGUACAGUAUAAGAAUCACCUGAAGGGCUUAUUAAAAACAGCUUGCUUGACCCCCUCCCUUAGAGAUUCCGAUUCAGUAGAUCUGGGUUGGUCAAGAAUUUGCAUUUCUAACAAGCUCCCAGCUGAGGCUGAGGCUGCCAUUCAACAUACUACCAAGUAGCACUGGCAUAGAGAGAUCCCUGGAAUAAAAUUUACCUACUUGUGUGUGUGUGUAUGAAUGUGUGUGUGUGUGUGUGCGUGUGCAUGUGCGUGUGUGUGUAUACAGUCUUGCUCUGUUGCCUGGGCUGGAGUGCAGUGGCGUGAUCUCGGCUCACCAUAACCUCCGCCUCCCAGCUUUCAAGCGAUUCUCAUGCCUUAGCCU
rnacentral:lncRNA from 1 species